AUAAGUACCUGCUGGGCUUCCCAGGACAGCAGCUGACAGCACAGGCUUGGCAGACACCCCUGAGAGAGUCUUCGGCACAUAUGAUGUCCUCUAUUGAUGUUUGCUGAAUAGAUGAGGAUGCCAAAAGAGGGAGGAGAUACCAAAAGAGGGAAAGAAGGACACCCAGAAGACAAAUGGUGCUCACCUUGAGCCUCGAGGUCUUUAGGAAAACGGUGACUCUGGAGCACAGCCCUGGAUCCCUGAUGGCAGGUGGAUGAAUCUGCUCCCCACCUGGAUGCUGCUAGUCCUUUCUCCAGGCUCCGUGACUGAAAAUGUGCUUUACUUGGCAAAAGCUGUUUCUCCUCAGAACUCUAGAAAUCAGAUCUUGGCCCACCUCUUUCAGGGUGGAAAGGAGGUUGUCAGAG
rnacentral:lncRNA from 1 species